rnacentral:rRNA from 1 species
GAUGAACGCUGGCGGCGUGCCUAAUACAUGCAAGUCGAGCGAACGGACGAGAAGCUUGCUUCUCUGAUGUUAGCGGCGGACGGGUGAGUAACACGUGGAUAACCUACCUAUAAGACUGGGAUAACUUCGGGAAACCGGAGCUAAUACCGGAUGAUAUUUUGAACCGCAUGGUUCAAAAGUGAAAGACGGUCUUGCUGUCACUUAUAGAUGGAUCCGCGCUGCAUUAGCUAGUUGGUAAGGUAACGGCUUACCAAGGCAACGAUGCAUAGCCGACCUGAGAGGGUGAUCGGCCACACUGGAACUGAGACACGGUCCAGACUCCUACGGGAGGCAGCAGUAGGGAAUCUUCCGCAAUGGGCGAAAGCCUGACGGAGCAACGCCGCGUGAGUGAUGAAGGUCUUCGGAUCGUAAAACUCUGUUAUUAGGGAGAACGUAUGUGUAAGUAACUGUGCACAUCUUGACGGUACCUAAUCAGAAAGCCACGGCUAACUACGUG